rnacentral:tRNA from 1 species
GGACAGGUGGCCGAGUGGUUUAAGGCGCACGCCUGGAGAGCGUGUAUACGUCAAAAGCGUAUCGAGGGUUCGAAUCCCUCCCUGUCCG